rnacentral:rRNA from 1 species
GACGUAGGGGGCGAGCGUUGUUCGGAUUUACUGGGCGUAAAGCGCGCGUAGGCGGCUAGAUAAGUCGGGUGUGAAAUCCCUCGGCUUAACCGAGGACCCGCAUCCGAUACUGCCUGGCUCGAGUCUUGGAGAGGAGAGCGGAAUUCCCCGUGUAGCGGUGAAAUGCGUAGAUAUUGGGAGGAACACCGGUGGCGAAGGCGGCUUUCCGGACUAGCCCUGACGCUGAGGCGCGAAAGCUAGGGGAGCGAACGGG